rnacentral:sRNA from 1 species
GCGCAUGCGCGCGCCCCGGCGGCGCGGGUCUGGGUCUGGGUCUGGGGAUGUGGUGCCGGCUGCCGGCGACCGCCGGCAGUAGAGCGGUGGCCAGGCCGCUGGCCUUGCUCUGGCGAUGUGGUGGCCCAGGAGGUGGCAGGACGGUCAAGACCAGCGCGAGGGUCCUGGGCAGGGCCCGACAGUGGUUGUGGCCAGUGAGAAUGUGCAGUGUUGUAUUGCAGAAGAAGCUAAUAAGCUUAUCUGGUCUCUUGUUUCAGUGCCUCUAGGGGAUCCACGUUCAGAAGCUGACUCUGCAGGCGAGACCAACGUUAUUUUCCCGGUGGCUGUGUUCAAAACCACCCAAAGGUACCUGUCUUUCAUCCACCAUCAUUAGCAGCAUAAGGUUUACAGGAGCUGAGUGGCUUCCUCAGAGUGUGACUUCUACAGUGAGUGUCCAGGAGGUGAGGAUCCAGACAACUCAGGGCACACCCCACUCCACCCCGCCCCAUCCUGCCCCUU